rnacentral:rRNA from 1 species
AUUGAACGCUGGCGGCAUGCUUUACACAUGCAAGUCGAACGGCAGCGCGGGCUUCGACCUGGCGGCGAGUGGCGAACGGGUGAGUAAUGCAUCGGAACGUGCCCAGUAGUGGGGGAUAGCCCGGCGAAAGCCGGAUUAAUACCGCAUACGACCUGAGGGUGAAAGCGGGGGACCGAAAGGCCUCGCGCUAUUGGAGCGGCCGAUGUCGGAUUAGCUAGUUGGUGGGGUAAAGGCUUACCAAGGCGACGAUCCGUAGCUGGUCUGAGAGGACGACCAGCCACACUGGGACUGAGACACGGCCCAGACUCCUACGGGAGGCAGCAGUGGGGAAUUUUGGACAAUGGGGGCAACCCUGAUCCAGCCAUGCCGCGUGCGGGAAGAAGGCCUUCGGGUUGUAAACCGCUUUUGUUCGGGAAGAAAUCCUCUGGGCUAAUACCCCGGGGGGAUGACGGUACCGGAAGAAUAAGCACCGGCUAACUACGUG